AGUUUCACACACACAGACUGUUGCCUGGUCUAAUUAGCAUUUGAAAGCAUGGCCAGUUCACUGAUACAGGUCCACACACUUCCUGUGGAAGAUCCACCCACGCAGCACAGGUUCAGUGUGAAAUACCAACGGAUGGAAUGCCGGCAGUCACAUGACCAGCCGCAGCAUCCCGGCAAUGAGGAUCCCAACACUGAACAGGAGUCUCCCGAGUGGUGUCGGGGUUCUGGCUUAGGUCACAUGUCCGCAGGCAUCCAGACCGCCGAGUGCUGAGGAUAUCAACAAUACAUAUAUAAAAAAUAAGCUGAUGACUGUCACGAUCCGGGUAUCUGGACGCCAUUACUUACCCUUCAGAUGCCUCCUAAGGCUGGCUCAGCGUUCCAGGACCGGAUCCCAUCUGUUAUGCUGAUGUCCACAUUCCUGCCUCCUCUCCUGUCACUCUGAGACGCGGUCACCGCAACGCCUGUUACAUCCGGAAUGGCGUCUCCCGCGGCCUCCGCCGCUGUUCCUGAAUUUCUACAUGCAGAAUGUCAGAGUGGUGAUUACGUCAGCCGCGGCCUCCGCUGUGCCCGCGUGGUUAAAUGUGCACUUAUCAGUCUGGCGUCUCCUGUCUCCUGUGGCCGGCGCCGCCAUUACUGUUUUAAUUCCCACAUGGAUUACAAACCAAACUUCCCUCCAAGUGUCUGCAUGGGCGCAGCCAUCUUGGAUUCUGUCAUCUGUUCAUUUCCACCAAUCUACUGUUUGCAAUGUUAAUCUGCAUAAUUGCCUAGCCAAUCCCUUCCUUGCUGCAGGUAUAAGUAUUCUGUGCCUGAGCAAGGAAGGCGUCAGUGCUUUGGUUGUCAAACCUUGUUCCAGUUUGUCUCUCUCCUGUGGUUGUUUUCCAGGUUCCAGUUCCUAUCUCCAAACCUCCACUAAAGAGACCCGCACCAGCAUUCCACCUGCGGUGUAGCCUGACUCUCCUAUCCAUUUGGAUUCAUCUGCUUCCAGCUACAGAUCCACCGCUCCCAGCAACUUCUGUUCCAGCAGUGGAUAUCACCUUGCAUCAGUUUGCAAACAACUGGAAGAGUGUACGAGCAGCUCUGCUCAAGGCAUCGUUCAGGUAUAAGAAGUUUGCGGACAAGAAGCGUAGAGCAGUUCCUGCUCUCAAGGUGGGUGAUCGGGUAUGGUUAUCCACGAAGAAUUUGAGGUUAAGAGUUCCCAGUAUGAAGUUUGCACCUCGCUACAUUGGUCCUUUCAAAAUUGAGCAAGUCAUCAAUCCUGUUGCUUACAGACUUCAGUUACCUCCCUUCUUAAAGAUACCCAGGACAUUCCAUGUUUCCCUGUUGAAACCGCUGAUCCUGAAUCGGUUUCAUUCCUCACUUCCUCCAACUCCGAAAGUCCAAACUCAACGAGGCGUUGAGUAUGAAGUGGCCAAGAUCCUGGACUCACGUCACCGUUACGGUCAACUACAGUAUCUUAUUGACUGGAAGGGUUACGGCCCUGAGGAACGCUCAUGGACCAAUGCUUCUGAUGUCCAUGCUCCUGCCUUGGUCCGGAGAUUCCAUUCCAAGUUUCCUCAAAAGCCAAAGAAGUGUCCUGGGGCCACUCCUAAAGGGGGGGGGGAGGGGUGCUGUCACGAUCCGGGUAUCUGGACGCCAUUACUUACCCUUCAGAUGCCUCCUAAGGCUGGCUCAGCGUUCCAGGACCGGAUCCCAUCUGUUAUGCUGAUGUCCACAUUCCUGCCUCCUCUCCUGUCACUCUGAGACGCGGUCACCGCAACGCCUGUUACAUCCGGAAUGGCGUCUCCCGCGGCCUCCGCCGCUGUUCCUGAAUUUCUACAUGCAGAAUGUCAGAGUGGUGAUUACGUCAGCCGCGGCCUCCGCUGUGCCCGCGUGGUUAAAUGUGCACUUAUCAGUCUGGCGUCUCCUGUGGCCGGCGCCGCCAUUACUGUUUUAAUUCCCACAUGGAUUACAAACCAAACUUCCCUCCAAGUGUCUGCAUGGGCGCAGCCAUCUUGGAUUCUGUCAUCUGUUCAUUUCCACCAAUCUACUGUUUGCAAUGUUAAUCUGCAUAAUUGCCUAGCCAAUCCCUUCCUUGCUGCAGGUAUAAGUAUUCUGUGCCUGAUCAAGGAAGGCGUCAGUGCUUUGGUUGUCAAACCUUGUUCCAGUUUGUCUCUCUCCUGUGGUUGUUUUCCAGGUUCCAUUUCCUAUCUCCAAACCUCCACUAAAGAGACCCGCACCAGCAUUCCACCUGCGGUGUAGCCUGACUCUCCUAUCCAUUUGGAUUCAUCUGCUUCCAGCUACAGAUCCACCUGCUUACAGCAAUCAGCUUCCAGCAGAGAUCAGCUCUUCUUAAAGUGCCGGUACCCUUUUCUACAGAUUAUCAUUUAUCACCGGCAUUAUUAUUUCACCGCUCUCAAGCUCCAAACAUCACUUCAUAUUUCAUCGCUCUCAAGCUACAUUUAUCAUUUAACUGGUUCCAGCCAGUAUCCA